GGCAAUGCAACGAGUGACUUGAAGCCAACGUUUUAUACAUCUCCCCAAACUGAACAUCCUAGAAACAACCAUCACCAACAUUUAUCACAUCACUCAAUGAAAACCGGGGAAUCCAAACAUCUGCAGACAUCCAGCCAACCACAACCAGCUGUGCCCUCCCAAACAAAAGCAGGAAAGACAAAUUUCAACCAAAAACACACAAUCUCUACUAGUCAGCAAACAAAUCUAUUACAUAAUCCCUCAUACAGACGCAAGUUUCUCAAGAAGUAUUUCUUGAGUAAUGGCCACUUGCGCCAUGCAAGGCACAGAGGACUUGUUCUGAGGAAAAACAAUCCACAGGGGUAGAUCAUUUCUUAUUCAACAUUAAUACUGUAAUGGUGCUAUUUUCUAGUCAGAAUAAAAAUAAAACAUUGAAAUGGAUCUUUCAAAGAGAAAACAGAACUGUGCUUGUCAGUAACUGCAAAUGACUUGACAACCCAGGAAAUGAUAUCUACAAUGAAUUCACCGAGUGACUCGAAAUGAAAGUUGAGUUUCAGUGCGUCCAGUUUCCUCCACGCUGGUUUCCUAUAAGGUUACCUGGGCGUGUCGUAAUACCAGAAAUACCACUGGCUUUGUUGAAGUGCAUCUAAUACACGGUGUUUAUGAGUGUGGGAUUUCUGAUGUUGUUGUUUCUAACGUAUCAUUUUUCAAUGGAUACAAUGUAUCAAUUUAAAUUGUAAAAAAUGUGAUAUACAUGUAUGCUUGAAAUGUGUAUCAAUAUGUGACAGUGAUACUUUGUCAGACAAACGUGUACUUACAGAUACUGUGACAGUAGUCGUGGGGGUUCUUUCUCGAAUGUUUUAUGUCAACCGAUUCAAGUUUUGUCAAACAGGCUGAAUAACAAUAAAUGACAUACCAGUAAUAAGUGGCUAUGUGCAUUUGAGUAUUACAAAAAUGAAAAUGCAAUGUUUACAUUUUUACCAUCAUUCUUAAAAGUUCGCCCUUGAAAUAUCUGCGCACUUACAAAGCAGGGGACUCCUUUUUCAAAUGGGAGUCUGAUCCUAACUUAUUGUCACAAUUUGUUUUUCACCCCUUAAAUCUCAUUACAUAAUCAAACCUUUGUUCAAACAGAAUGCUUAAGGCAUUUUAAUUGGCCAGUAAUACAAUCUGCUUAUCAAAUCAGAUAAAAAUAUUUCAAUUGUAAAUUAAUAUUGGGCACCUCUUCUUAAUUAAAAUACCCUGGUAAUGAAUAAUACCGAGGGGUAAUUUGAAAAUUUAUGAAGUGGUGUGCCAAAACACCACAGGAUGGGUUUUAACUUGGGGAGCACCUGCCGAGAUUAUACCUAUUGCAUUGGGUUUGUAUUUAAACAUUUUUAUGCAAAUGUCUUGUCAUUUCAUUGACUUUUUCAAGCCCAACAAAAAAUGUCCAGCCGUGCAGAAAAAUUUAAUGAUGUAAUGUUUUGAAAAGACUGGCACAUUUUUCAGUGUCUGCACACUUUAAUCGAGUCCCGGCAUCCCAUUUUAUUUGACAUCUCUUUCUAUUAAAUUAGAAAAAGAAUUUGUCCUCUGCUCCGCGGCUUUGUAAUAUAAGUUACAGUGCAUGAAAUGUUUGGAGUUCUCUGAGAUAGAAUUAAACAGAAUAUUUAACUCCAGAGCAAAUGUUAAAUCUGUUCCUUUCAAAGGAGUUGGAGAAAUGUUGAAUGUAUUCUGUAUUCAACGAAGAAAUUAAGUUAUUUUGGACCAAAAAAUGUAUGUUUGUGAUUUACUAAUAAAAUGAUUUUCAAAAUG
rnacentral:misc_RNA from 1 species